rnacentral:rRNA from 1 species
UACGUAGGGAGCUAGCGUUGUUCGGAAUUACUGGGCGUAAAGCGCACGUAGGCGGCUUUUUUAAGUCAGGGGUGAAAUCCCGGGGCUCAACCCCGGAACUGCCCUUGAAACUGGAGAGCUAGAAUCUUGGAGAGGCGAGUGGAAUUCCGAGUGUAGAGGUGAAAUUCGUAGAUAUUCGGAAGAACACCAGUGGCGAAGGCGACUCGCUGGACAAGUAUUGACGCUGAGGUGGCGAAAAGCGU